rnacentral:rRNA from 1 species
AGAGUUUGAUCAUGGCUCAGAUUGAACGCUGGCGGCAGGCCUAACACAUGCAAGUCGAACGGUAACAGGAAGCAGCUUGCUGCUUUGCUGACGAGUGGCGGACGGGUGAGUAAUGUCUGGGAAACUGCCUGAUGGAGGGGGAUAACUACUGGAAACGGUAGCUAAUACCGCAUAACGUCGCAAGACCAAAGAGGGGGACCUUCGGGCCUCUUGCCAUCAGAUGUGCCCAGAUGGGAUUAGCUUGUUGGUGGGGUAACGGCUCACCAAGGCGACGAUCCCUAGCUGGUCUGAGAGGAUGACCAGCCACACUGGAACUGAGACACGGUCCAGACUCCUACGGGAGGCAGCAGUGGGGAAUAUUGCACAAUGGGCGCAAGCCUGAUGCAGCCAUGCCGCGUGUAUGAAGAAGGCCUUCGGGUUGUAAAGUACUUUCAGCGGGGAGGAAGGUGUUGUGGUUAAUAACCACAGCAAUUGACGUUACCCGCAGAAGAAGCACCGGCUAACUCCGUGCCAGCAGCCGCGGUAAUACGGAGGGUGCAAGCGUUAAUCGGAAUUACUGGGCGUAAAGCGCACGCAGGCGGUCUGUUAAGUCAGAUGUGAAAUCCCCGGGCUCAACCUGGGAACUGCAUCUGAUACUGGCAGGCUUGAGUCUCGUAGAGGGGGGUAGAAUUCCAGGUGUAGCGGUGAAAUGCGUAGAGAUCUGGAGGAAUACCGGUGGCGAAGGCGGCCCCCUGGACGAAGACUGACGCUCAGGUGCGAAAGCGUGGGGAGCAAACAGGAUUAGAUACCCUGGUAGUCCACGCCGUAAACGAUGUCGACUUGGAGGUUGUGCCCUUGAGGCGUGGCUUCCGGAGCUAACGCGUUAAGUCGACCGCCUGGGGAGUACGGCCGCAAGGUUAAAACUCAAAUGAAUUGACGGGGGCCCGCACAAGCGGUGGAGCAUGUGGUUUAAUUCGAUGCAACGCGAAGAACCUUACCUGGUCUUGACAUCCACGGAAGUUUUCAGAGAUGAGAAUGUGCCUUCGGGAACCGUGAGACAGGUGCUGCAUGGCUGUCGUCAGCUCGUGUUGUGAAAUGUUGGGUUAAGUCCCGCAACGAGCGCAACCCUUAUCCUUUGUUGCCAGCGGUCCGGCCGGGAACUCAAAGGAGACUGCCAGUGAUAAACUGGAGGAAGGUGGGGAUGACGUCAAGUCAUCAUGGCCCUUACGACCAGGGCUACACACGUGCUACAAUGGCAUAUACAAAGAGAAGCGACCUCGCGAGAGCAAGCGGACCUCAUAAAGUAUGUCGUAGUCCGGAUUGGAGUCUGCAACUCGACUCCAUGAAGUCGGAAUCGCUAGUAAUCGUGGAUCAGAAUGCCACGGUGAAUACGUUCCCGGGCCUUGUACACACCGCCCGUCACACCAUGGGAGUGGGUUGCAAAAGAAGUAGGUAGCUUAACCUUCGGGAGGGCGCUUACCACUUUGUGAUUCAUGACUGGGGUGAAGUCGUAACAAGGUAACCGUAGGGGAACCUGCGGUUGGAUCACCU